rnacentral:sRNA from 1 species
AAAGAGGAAUCAAGUGAGAGCUUGAGAAAUAGAGAAGAAAGAGCUAGGGAGAAAUUUUUAGUUGCAAGAAGAGUAGAGGUUCUGAAGGGUUUCGGGGAAAUAAAUUCAGAUCAAGAGGAAUCUGGAAUAGAGAUGAAGGAAUGUCGCCUCACAUAGUGCCAAGGAAAGGGAGGAGUAGAAGAACUAUAAUUAGAAUCUUUUUACAUGUAUAGAGUUAUAUUAACUAGGAAAUUUUAAAGGGUGAAAUUACGGAAUGUUACCGUAAAUGUAAUGUUAAUUAUCAAGUGUG